rnacentral:tRNA from 1 species
GGCGGAUUCGUCUAAUCAGGUUUAGGACAUAAGGCUUUCAAUCUUAAAAUGCCGGGUUCAAAUCCCGCAUCCGUCA